AACGAACGCUGGCGGCGUGGAUUAGGCAUGCAAGUCGAACGCGAAAGAGGGAGCAAUCCCUCAAGUAGAGUGGCGAACGGGUGAGUAACGCGUGAAGAACCUGCCUUCAACAGGGGGAUAACACUCCCAACGGGGUGCUAAUACCGCAUGAGACCACGGGUCCGCAUGGACCUGAGGUCAAAGGUGGCCUCUGCUUGCAAGCUACCGGUUGAAGAUGGCUUCGCGUCCCAUAGCUAGUUGGCGGUGUAAAAGACCACCAAGGCGGCGAUGGGUAGCUGGUCUGAGAGGAUGGUCAGCCACACUGGGACUGAGAUACGGCCCAGACUCCUACGGGAGGCAGCAGUCGAGAGGCUUUGGCAAGUGGGGAAACCCUGACCAAGCGACGCCGCGUGGAGGAUGAA
rnacentral:rRNA from 1 species